GAAGUAAUAGCCCAGCUACACCGAGCAUCCCGAUUUCCAAUCGGGACGUUCGAAGGUUCGAAUCCUUCUGCCUUCACGA
rnacentral:tRNA from 1 species